GAUGAAGAACGCAGCGAAACGCGAUAUGUAAUGUGAAUUGCAGAAUUCAGUGAAUCAUCGAAUCUUUGAACGCACAUGGCGCCUUCCAGUAUCCUGGGAGGCAUGCCUGUCCGAGCGUCGUUUCAACCCUCGAGCCCCCGUGGCCCGGCGUUGGGGAUCUGCCCAGGCAGUCCCCGAAAACCAGUGGCGGACCCGUUACAGGCCCUUCCCUUGCGUAGUAGCAUUCGCCUCGCAUCGGGAGCAGGCGGGCUUCCAGCCUCUAAACCCCCAUCAAGUCCGCCCCGGCGGCACCAAGGUUGACCUCGGAUCAGGUAGGAAUACCCGCUGAACUUAAGCAUAUCAAUAAGCGGAGGA
rnacentral:misc_RNA from 1 species